UACGAAGGGGGCUAGCGUUGUUCGGAAUCACUGGGCGUAAAGCGUAUGCAGGCGGAUCGUUAAGUCGGGGGUGAAAUCCCGAGGCUCAACCUCGGAACUGCCUUCGAUACUGGCGAUCUUCGAGUCCGGGAGAGGUGAGUGGAACUGCGAGUGUAGAGGUGAAAUUCGUAGAUAUUCGCAAGAACACCAGUGGCGAAGGCGGCUCACUGGCCCGGUACUGACGCUGAGAUACGAAAGCGUGGGGAGCAAACAGG
rnacentral:rRNA from 1 species